GUUAUAGAAUACAAGCAUUGAGUUUUAAAUUCAAAUGAACAACUGGAAAAUUUCUUAUGGGAGAAUGCUAUAGUCGAGUUCCCUGAAAAUUAGAAUCAAAAUUUUUCAAAAUGCAUGCGCAUGUUGCAAGGAAAACAGAAAAACCCAAGAACGCCUGCAACGACUAGUCUCGUCUUUCUAUAAGACGGUUUCUAUAGCGAAAAGGUGACAAACUGGUCGAGCCACUUACAUCCUUGUUGCAUUGGAGAUGCAAUAAGAGAACUUGGAAAUGAACCAAAUACGAAGUACCUCGAACCAACUUGCUUUUAUAAAAUUGCAAUUAUAAAAUGUCACUGAGUUAGUCCUGUAUUGACUCCUUGAUCACAUUCGCGAAUGGGCCAGGAAUUUUACAAUUCUCAUUUUUCAAGCCUGAAUGGGUUGCUUAUAAAUAAAGCCGCGAGACAUCAGCUUUCCAUGAAUUGCA